rnacentral:rRNA from 1 species
GACGGCGGGCGCAAGCGUUGUUCGGAAUUACUGGGCGUAAAGCGCGGGCAGGCGGUCUGUUAAGUCGUUUGUGAAAACCCGGGGCUCAACCCCGGGAAUGCGGACGAUACUGGCAGGCUGGUGACCGGUAGAGGCUAGCGGAAUUCCUGGUGUAGCGGUGGAAUGCGUAGAUAUCAGGAAGAACACCUGUGGCGAAGGCGGCUAGCUGGGCCGGGUCUGACGCUCAUCCGCGAAAGCGUGGGGAGCAAACAGG